rnacentral:rRNA from 1 species
CGGGGCGUACACAGGGAUCGGCGCUUUGCUGUAAUCCUUCGUGUUCCGCGUCACGAUGCAGUCCGCGCCGGAGCGCACCGUCGUUUCGACCAUUACGGCAUCCUCGAAAUCGGAAAUCUCUGCCGAAAUCGCCUUGCGGAUGUCCAGCGCUGUAGUGUCCAGCAGCCCGAACAACGCGCAGAGCUUUGUCAGAACGUCGCGAGUUGCUUUGUCGCUGUGGGUCUGCCGAUGCGUCAGAUAGUAAAUGUCCGUGAUGGCUUUCGCCGUCAGGAAGCCUUCAAACUGCCGGUUGGCGCAGAGCAGGAAAAUCGACUGCGCAUCCUUGCAGAACGGUUCGCGGCUUUGCAGCGCGUCCACGAUGACGCAGGUAUCAAUGACAGCUCUCAUAUCCGGUUCAGCCUUUCUUCCUUCGCUUCCUCCAACGUCACAUCAGCCGGAAGAAUCCCGAACAGGGACUUGGCAAUGUCCACUCUGUCCUGAUGGGGGUUGGAGAGUUUGGCGACAACCUUGCCGUUGCGGGUGAUGAAAAUGUCCUCCGUCGCUGCAAGCAGAAGAUACUUUCCGAGAUUGCUUUUCAGUUCCGUCGCAGUAAUCGACAUGAUCUGGUUCCUCCCUUCGUGAUUUGGUUCAUCCUUAUUAUAUCUAAACCAGACGAAAUAUGCAACAGAUUCGUGCGAAAUAUUUUGUGAACCGUCCGAUAACUUUCUGUGACCGAAACGGAGCAAAUGCCCAUCCCAAAAGCGCACAGAGCGCGCCGAAGGGACUUACCCAUACCGCAACACCACCCGUUCCCCAAACGGAGCGUACAAGGCGAAAAAAGCCCGAAAAUGAUACCGAGAUUUACAAUUUGACCGUCUGCCGGAGCGCGACGCUUUGGCGACAGAUAGGAGCGUGAAAAUGCCGAGAAUGAAAAAGCAGCGGCGGCUGGAAUGGUCGUUCUUCCUCGACCACCGAAACCGCAUUUCCUACAAUUCCCUUUGCCGUGGGUGCGUCCACGGCUGCAAGCAGAGCUUUCGUGCAGUUGUGGUGCUUUGCCCGCAUUACUGGUCGAAACGCUGGAAACCGCCCGAUUGAGGGCUGUCACGAUUCGUUAUACCCCAUUUCCCGCGAAGGAGGUGACAUUCCAUCACCGAGUACAUGAGAGCGGAUACCCGGCUGCCGCCGUAUCUGCCAUAUCCCCGUUUCCUGCUGCAAGCAGACCUGACCCAGACGGCGAAGCUGCUGUACGCGCUGCUGCUUGACCGGGCAACGCUCUCACAGACAAACGGCUGGCUGGACGAGGGCGGCAGGAUUUAUCUUGUGUUCCCCAUAGAGAAAAUUGCCGCCGCGCUGGACAGAAGCCCUAUGGAGCUUCACUGCAGCUUGAGAUUGAAUCCCGGUGACAGAUGCACAGGAUAGGUGGGAGGCGCCGAAGCAUUGCCCUAGGGCAAUGCGGAGCCGAUGUUGGGAUACCACCCUUCUGUUGCUGAGAUUCUAACGCGAGGAGUAACGACCCUGCGGACCCUCUCAGGCAGGCGGUUUGACUGGGGCGGUCGCCUCCGAAAGAGUAACGGAGGCGCCCAAAGGUUCCCUCAGGCCGGACAGAAACCGGCCGAAGAGUGCAAAGGCAGAAGGGAGCUUGACUGCGAGACCAACAAGUCGAGCAGGGACGAAAGUCGGGCUUAGUGAUCCGGUGGUACUGGGUGGAAAGGCCAUCGCUCAACGGAUAAAAGCUACCCUGGGGAUAACAGGCUAAUCUCUCCCAAGAGUUCAUAUCGACGGGGAGGUUUGGCACCUCGAUGUCGGCUCAUCACAUCCUGGGGCUGGAGUAGGUCCCAAGGGUUGGGCUGUUCGCCCAUUAAAGUGGUACGCGAGCUGGGUUCAAAACGUCGUGAGACAGUUUGGUUCAUAUCCAUCGCGGGCGCAAGAAGUUUGAGAGGAGCUGCUCCUAGUACGAGAGGACCGGAGUGGACGGAUCAACGGUGUCCCAGUUGUCACGCCAGUGGCACGGCUGGAAAGCCGCAUCCGGGAAGGAUAAACGCUGAAAGCAUCUAAGCGCGAAGCCAACCUCAAGAUGAGACUUCUCAUCAGCAAUGAGUAAGACCCCUUACAGACGAUGAGGUAGAUAGGUUAUGAGUGGAAGAGCCGCAAGGCUUGGAGCGACAUAAAACUAAUAGGUCGAGGUCUUAACU